AUUGAACGCUGGCGGCAGGCCUAACACAUGCAAGUCGGGCGGAUGAAGGGAGCUUGCUCCUGGAUUCAGCGGCGGACGGGUGAGUAAUGCCUAGGAAUCUGCCUGGUAGUGGGGGGUAACGUCCGGAAACGGGCGCUAAUACCGCAUACGUCCUGAGGGAGAAAGUGGGGGAUCUUCGGACCUCACGCUAUCAGAUGAGCCUAGGUCGGAUUAGCUAGUUGGUGGGGUAAAGGCCUACCAAGGCGACGAUCCGUAACUGGUCUGAGAGGAUGAUCAGUCACACUGGAACUGAGACACGGUCCAGACUCCUACGGGAGGCAGCAGUGGGGAAUAUUGGACAAUGGGCGAAAGCCUGAUCCAGCCAUGCCGCGUGUGUGAAGAAGGUCUUCGGAUUGUAAAGCACUUUAAGUUGGGAGGAAGGGCAGUAAGUUAAUACCUUGCUGUUUUGACGUUACCAACAGAAUAAGCACCGGCUAACUUCGUG
rnacentral:rRNA from 1 species